rnacentral:misc_RNA from 1 species
AAGUCGUAACAAGGUAACCGUAGGUGAACCUGCGGUUGGAUCAUUACAAAAAUGAUUUUUAUAGGUAGAGUUUUUUAAACCUUACAGUUUUUAAAAUUCCUUAUAAAAAAAUUCACCCUUUGUGCACUGUAAAUGUUUUUCAGGUGUUGCUCGCUCGCUCGCUCUUUUUGAUUAUUAUUUUAUGAUGAUUGAUUGAUUGAUUUGAAAUACACCUGGCAGUAUUAAACUCUUUAUUUAUUAUUUGACUGAAUUUUUUCUAUAAAAUGAAAAUGAAAACAACUUUUGACAACGGAUCUCUUGGCUCUC